rnacentral:rRNA from 1 species
UACGUAGGGGGCAAGCGUUAUCCGGAUUUACUGGGUGUAAAGGGAGCGUAGACGGCGGUGCAAGUCUGAAGUGAAAGGCGGGGGCUCAACUCCCGGAUUGCUUUGGAAACUGCAUGGCUAGAGUACCGGAGGGGUAAGCGGAAUUCCUGGUGUAGCGGUGAAAUGCGUAGAUAUCAGGAGGAACACCGGUGGCGAAGGCGGCUUACUGGACGGCAACUGACGUUGAGGCUCGAAAGCGUGGGGAGCAAACAGG